UGCGAGUGAAGAGGGAAGAGCUCAAAUUUAAAAUCUGGUAGUCUCUGACUGCCCGAGUUGUAAUCUAGAGAAGCAUUAUCCGCGCCGGACCAUGUACAAGUUUUCCUGGAAUGGAGCGUCAUAGAGGGUGAGAAUCCCGUCUUUGACAUGGGCUACCGGGGCUUUGUGAUGUGCUUUCCACGAGUCGAGUUGUUUGGGAAUGCAGCUCUAAAUGGGUGGUAAAUUCCAUCUAAAGCUAAAUAUUGGCGAGAGACCGAUAGCGAACAAGUACCGUGAGGGAAAGAUGAAAAGAACUUUGGAAAGAGAGUUAAACAGUACGUGAAAUUGUUGAAAGGGAAACGCUUGAAGUCAGUCGCGUUUGCUAGGAAUCAACCUUGCAUUUUUGCUGGGUGUACUUUCUGGUUAACGGGUCAGCAUCAAUUUUGAGCAGUGGAAAAAGUUCAGAGGAAUGUGGCACCUCCGGGUGUGUUAUAGCCUUUGUUCGUAUACACUGCUUGGAAUUGAGGAACUCAGCAUGCCGUAAGGCCGGGUCAGUUGACCACGUUCAUGCUUAGGAUGCUGGCAUAAUGGCUUUAAUCGACCCGUCUUGAAACACGGACCAAGGAGUCUAACAUGCCCGCGAGUGUUUGGGUGGAAAACCCGGACGCGUAAUGAAAGUGAAGGUUGAGAUCCCUGUCGUGGGGAGCAUCGACGCCCGGACCAGAACUUCUGUGACGGAUCCGCGGUAGAGCGUGUAUGUUGGGACC
rnacentral:rRNA from 1 species